UUAAAUUGAAGAGUUUGAUCAUGGCUCAGAUUGAACGCUGGCGGCAGGCCUAACACAUGCAAGUCGAACGGUAACAAGAAGCAGCUUGCUGCUUUGCUGACGAGUGGCGGACGGGUGAGUAAUGUCU
rnacentral:rRNA from 1 species